rnacentral:rRNA from 1 species
UACGUAGGCAGCGAGCGUUGUUCGGAGUUACUGGGCGUAAAGGGUGUGUAGGCGGUUUUCUAAGUUUGGUGUGAAAUCUCCCGGCUCAACCGGGAGGGUGCGCCGAAAACUGGGAGACUAGAGUGCGGGAUGGGAGAGUAGAAUUCCUGGUGUAGCGGUGAAAUGCGCAGAUAUCAGGAGGAACACCGGUGGCGAAGGCGGGUCUCUGGGCCGAUACUGACGCUGAGGAGCGAAAGCGUGGGAGCAAACAGG